AGCUAAACCUUGCAUUGCCUUUCAGGCCUUAAUUCAAACCUGUAGGUGGUGCCAUUUUACUUCUUUUUCUGUAUGUGCCAUUUAAAAUUAGACAUAAAGCAUCAUAACUGGCUGGCAGCCUUGUCAUAGAUUCCAAGGCCAGAAGGGAUCCUUUAUCACUUUAGGAGUUCAGAGAACCCACUGAACCCACUGUGAUGUGUGAAUUCAUUUUGUUAAAAAUUGCUUUGAUCUGAUAUCUCCUUGAGUUUCAGACGCUAAAGGCUGGGCUUCUUUAUUCUCAGUCUGCUUCAUGCUCCUGAUGGGCACACACAUUACAGGAGUACAACUUAUGCUUCUGUAAUUCAUGAGACUUAUUCUUUGCCACUAUUGUCUGCUCUAUCAGUGGCCCAAGGGGGUGUAUCCAAAAAAGUUUACAAAUUACGAAAGGAAAACAGAAAGUGCCAUCAUCCUCCAGUUACUAGCAUACUGGGAAAAAUUGGCAAUAGAAAAAUGCAAAGUGAGGCUGUCCCUGGGGGAAAAAACCUCACAGAUUACCUAUCUAUAGCUAUCCUAACUACUUAUGUGGCUUCCAUUACUGUAGUAUCUAAGUACCUCACAAUCUUUAAUGUAUUUACCCUAACACCCCUAAGAGGUAAGAGGUGCUAUUGUCCUCAUUGUAAAGAUGAUGAACUAUACCUAAGAUUUAGGGUAACCGUUCCUUUGUGGGGGGAGGGGGUCAGCUUCUCUAGUGUAUCCUGUGUGAGAUUCAAGGUCUGAUGAAAUAUCUCAGCCCCCUCAAGAGGAGGACUGCAGGAUCUGGGCUCACAAACAAGAGUCCAGCCAGUACAUUCACCAUGAAUUGUAAUGUGCUGGAGAGGGCUCUGAGGUGCCUCUUGUUAAAAUUUCCCCUCCAGAUUGAAGGGAUGCUUACGGUGAAUUGCCUGGGGAUCAGCUUCUCUCUGGAUACCAAAAAAGCAUCUCUGCUAGAGAGGACUAAUCUGAAGGAUCAUAAGACUUUUGAAGAGCAAUUUGUUUAGCCUUUGGAAUUAAACUCUUUGCACCAAAUGUCUGGUGUUUUCAAAGUAUUUCUGAGGUGGGGAGGGUCAUAUUAGACUUUCCUGAAAAAGUCAUCAUCCUUCAUCCUAAAUAACAUACAUUGGAUAUUACCUCAUAAUGCUCAGUGUACCCUUCAGGAACAAAGCAGAACCAUUUUAAUGGGCAAAUAAUUUAUUUGUUAGCCAAACUGGUGCAGCAUCCCUCCUUGGCCAUGGGCAUGAGAAAGUAUUAUUGUUUAGAUGGGAAAUCAGACUAACAGAUUUUCCAAUCUCUCACCACCUUUCAGUGGGCACAUGAGCCCCUAGGAUACUGGCAUUAUCACACACUCUGGAAGAUGCUUAUUGUAGGACUUCCUGGUUAUAACAUUAUAAAGCACAUCACUGCCAGAACAGGUGGUUCCCACCCAAGGAUGCAUCACAACCACUUUGUCUUACAGGGCCCUGUUUAAUAGAUCAGGCCCAAUGUCUUGGUUAAGUGAAAAUGUACAAGAAAUAAUAUGUUUAAGAAAUAGUCCUCUCACAUUUUAGAAUCAUCGAGAUCAAGCAACUCUCUCUAGACAAAGAAAAUCUCUCCAGGAGCUCUGAGCCCAGUCUCUUCUUUUCUGAAGCUCAAAACACCUGGUGGGCAAUUAUUGCUUGAAGGAAAUUAUCUUUCAGUUAUCCUUCCCAUGUAGUACCACCUGCUCCAUUUACAAAUUCCUGGAACUCCCAGCUUGUCCAAUGAGCAAAUUCUGACCCAUCCCCUGCCAUGAAGGAUUAGGAAAGCAGCUUUCCCAUAGGGAUUUAAUCCUUCACCCGCCAUGUUAACUGGUAUUAGACAUACACUGUUAGGAAAAGGAUAUUGUUGCCCCUCUGCUGAGUGAUAGCAAAUGCCUGAGAUCUUGCAGGUCAGCUUCAUAGUGGAGAGAAAUCAGUGUAGCAGAAUCUGGGUAUAUUCUAAGUAUAACUUGUUUUAUUUACAUAAACACCAAUCCUGGAACAGAAGUGGUCAUAUAGCAUACAAGGCAAUCCCCUCUUUCAGGAAUUUCAGCCAAUACCUAGUUACAAGGGAGCAAUUCUGCCUCAAGAAUUGAUUUCAGACAGCAAAUUCUCCUGGUCCUCCCUCUGCCCAGGACAAAAUCAGCACACCUUCCCCAGGUGAAAUAUUUGCUUGCAUGCUAAGAAAAAGAACUUGGAAGACUAUCUGUAACCGUGCAACCUGCCAUAGAAUAUAAUGUAAAUAUAUAAAUAAACCCAAGCAGUGCUAGGUGAAAGGUCACAUUUCUUCAUGUGAAACAGCUAGCUCUUUAUGAGACUCAAUGUGGCCUAAUGGAUAGAGUACUGGAUCAGGAUAUGUGGGUUUUAUUCCUGACUCUGCCACUGGCCUACUGAGUGACCUCAGGCAAGUCUCUUUCCCACUGUGCCUCAAUUUCCCCAUUUGUAAAAUAGGGAUAAGAAUAUUGACCUCCUGUGGCAGUCUGUACCCCUAUAUUCAUGCCUUUUACAGGUCUAUGGUGAAUUUCAUACAAAGUAUGCCUUGUGCGGUGUCAUUUGAAAACUCAUAAUUUGCUGACCAUUAUUGUCCUGGUAAAAUGUGUGUGAGGCAACAUUGUAUGUAAAAUUAUAAGAUUCUAUUGUAUGAUAUGACUAAGACAUGUUCCAAGUCUGGGGAUCAGUCACAAACUGGUUCCCCAGAGACAAAAGGUUAGCUGAUGCCUCAGUCAGGUGUCAACAAAAUCAUAUGGACCAUCAUCUGGUUAAGUGGUCGUUCUUUGGUACGAAAGAGGGUGUGGGUGAAAAAAUCUACAUCUUGACAAGGAAACAGCUUGGGGUUCCAAUCCACACAGACUUUCUCCUCAACCACAACUAGAGAUGAUUCUCAAAGAAGAGAAAGAACUAUAAGAAGGGAGAGCAGACAUCCCAAAUUAUUCCUCCCUUUCUUUGUACCGAUGGCAUCCACAACACCUGAAGAAUAAAAGAAUCAGCUUUGGACUGGGGGAGAGAUCCUGACUGAAAGGAGUUCAGCCAGUAAGACUGCUGUAACAUGUGUUUGUUUGGAGUGUUGGUGGAUCCCUGCUGCAUUCUGCCAGGGUGUGUGUCUGUAUGCUCUCUCGUCCAGAAUGCAGUACAAGAGUUUUCAAUCUGUCAAGCCCAUUGAGACCCUUUUCAUCAAGGUGAUGGUUACAGAUAUUAAGGACAGUAAAGGAAAUGGUCACAUAGCAGGCAUCAGAAUGAAAGCCCAUCCUCUUCAACAGAAAACUAGCUCUGUACGGAGGCAGCCAAUAGAAUGAGUUGAUGGGUGAUUUAUGUUUUGUACUCUGUUCUUUUUACAAUAUUUUAAGCAGGGAAAACUUUUAAAAAGUAACAAUGAAUUCACAGAUAUUUUGCUUUUUUCUUGUGCUUGUUCUUAGUAUUUCAGUUUCAUUAGUUCUUUAUACUGUUAGUUCAUCUGAGCAAAAAAACCUUCGGAAGUUGAACCUCUCAGGGAGUUCUAUCUUAGCAGAAGCCUGUAAUGCACUUAUUGAAGAGAAGGCAUUUUUUGUACAAGAAAACACAUUAAAAACAUCAUUUGGGAGAACCAGUUGCACCAAAUACUUAAUUCAAAAUCACUAUAUAACCAGCCCUCUCUCGGCAGAAGAAGCUGCCUUUCCUUUAGCUUAUAUCAUAACCCUUCAUAAGGAAUUUGAUACUUUUGAAAGACUUUUCAGGGCUAUUUAUAUGCCCCAAAACAUUUAUUGUAUCCAUGUGGAUAGGAAAGCAACUGCUAAGUUUAAGCAAGAUGUGGAGAAGUUAUUGAACUGUUUUCCCAAUGCUUUUCUUGCCUCUAAAAUGGAGCUAGUGGUAUAUGCUGGAAUAUCCAGACUUCAGGCAGAUUUGAACUGCAUGAAAGACCUGCUGGAAUCAGGAGUUCGGUGGAAGUACCUUCUCAACACAUGUGGACAAGAUUUCCCCUUGAAAACCAACAAGGAAAUAGUUCAGUAUCUGAAAAGAUUUAAAGGGAAAAACAUCACUCCUGGAGGUCUGCCUCCUGCCCAUAUUAUCAGAAGGACCAAAUAUAUCCACAGGGAACAAAUAUACAGUUUCACUUCUUUCAUGUUGUGGACCUUUGUACGAAAAGCACCACCUCCACACAAUCUGAUCAUCUACUUUGGCUCUUCUUAUAUUGCUGUCACAAGGGACUUUACCGAGUUAGUUCUCAGAGACCAGCGUGCCAUUGAUUUACUUGCAUGGUCCAAGGACACCUAUAGUCCAGAUGAGCAUUUCUGGGUGACACUCAAUUCGCUACCAGUGAAGUCCAGGACCUGCACUCUUUGGGUAAUUGGAACCCGCUGAGGAGGAGCACCGGAUAGUCUCCGGAUGUCGAUCGGGAUGGAAGAAGCGGACCGAGAACCCUCUGGGGAUGUCAUCCCCAGGAACCGGAGCAGGAAAGAUGUCCCUGGUUCCAUGCCAAAUGCAUCCUGG